CACUUUUUAAAAAUCAACUUUUGAUGUUUAAGUAUUUCGCGAAUUUGAAAUUAGUCAUUCAAUGAGUUUUCCAUCUAUUUUCGCAACUUCUGUUAAGUUGAGUCACCGUUUGUUCACGUAGACAUCAACACUUUAGGUUAAAAACGAUGCUGUUUUAAAUGUUGGCUUUACACGUCAGCCCCAACUUGUGGGAAAUUUCUUUAAGCAAGUUUGAGGCUUGAAGAACGUCAACUCUUGACGAGGGAUGAUUAGAAAAGAAAAAAAGUUGGAAGAAGGACAAGGAGCGGGGGGAAUGGAAGACAUCUCCAUGGAGAAUGCAAAUAAAUAAGGGUUUACAAUCACUAUCAUGGUCGUCUUCUUCAAUGUCGUCUGUAGGAGGUGAUGUGGAUUUGGAUGCAUCGAUGUGCAAAUGAGGCCUUUGAUCUCCAUUAAGAACUUCUUGGAUGGCAACAAAUCUUGGGAGGCGCUUCUUUGGGUGUGCCAUGUAUGAUGCACAAAGGAAAGGAAUUACUACCUCCAUUGCGUAAUAAUUGAAGUGCUUGAAAGAUGAGGUGAUACAACUUAGAGCACGGAAGAGGCAGCUUACUCAACUGUUGAUGUUUUUGUCAGUAGUAUUUAUUGCUUUGGUGGGAGUAUGGUUGAUGGGACGUAAGGCCAUGUCAGGAAAGGAAUUACUGCCUCCAUUGCGUAAUAAUUGAAGUGCUUGAAAGAUGAGGUGAUACAACUUAGAGCACGGAAGAGGCAGCUUACUCAACUGUUGAUGUUUUUGUCAGUAGUAUUUAUUGCUUUGGUGGGAGUAUGGUUGAUGGGACGUAAGGCCAUGCAUUGACAUGGCCUGUUGUAGUGUUUGUAAUGGUGCAUUGGUAUUUUUGGGUGUUUGAUGGAGUGAAUUUACCACUCCCAUUUUGUAAAUUUGGAUCAUUGUAUAAUUUAGUACUUACAUUUUGUGAAAGGUGCAUUUAAAUGAAUGAUUUUUUCCGUGCA